AUGUGUCGUAAAAUGGCUGCUAAUAAGAGGGCCACCGACGCUGUCAAGCUCCGCCGCAGUCGUCGCCUCACUGACAAAGGGGAUGGUCAGUUCGUGGACAUGACCACGAAGGCCAUGCGUGUCAAGGCCCGUCGCUUCGACCUGCAGCACGCCUCUCACGACCUCGUCGAAGCCCUGGAUUCCUCUGGACUCACCAGCUCCCCAGAGGAUCCGGUGCUGGACUCCGAUGCCCUUGCUCUCAUUGCCAAGCUCUGUGGCGCUGAACCGGUGGAGGUUCAGGAGGUGUCCUCGCCGGCGCCGUGA
rnacentral:rRNA from 1 species